UACGUAGGGGGCAAGCGUUGUCCGGAAUCAUUGGGCGUAAAGAGCGUGUAGGCGGCCCGAUAAGUCCGCUGUGAAAGUCCAGGGCUCAACCCUGGGAUGCCGGUGGAUACUGUCGGGCUCGAGUCCGGAAGAGGAGUGUGGAAUUCCUGGUGUAGCGGUGAAAUGCGCAGAUAUCAGGAGGAACACCAAUGGCGAAGGCAGCACUCUGGGACGUGACUGACGCUGAGACGCGAAAGCGUGGGGGGCAAACAGG
rnacentral:rRNA from 1 species